ensembl:lncRNA TYMSOS TYMS opposite strand RNA
GCCUCUUCCUGCUCGGCGGGGUCGCGGCGGCCCCCGCUCUAGAGAGCGUGCGCCAGGGGGAAACGCAGGAGCCACGGGUGUGGCACAGAACGGAGCCCAGGGCCACAGCUGAGAGUCUUAGGAAACCCGGGAACCUGGAUGCAGGAUUUCCAGGUCCCAGAUGAAGAGAUAAUUCUACUUACUGGAUAUAGGAUGCAUUAGAUCUUCUUACCUUAAAAAAAAAAAAAAAGGCAGCAAUGAUCAAAAUACUAAUAAAUUACUCACAGACUCAGUGUAUUUUUUCUUGGAGUAAAAGUCCAGGAUGGGUAAUAGAAUACCUGCUGUUGGCUUUUGGAAAAAUUGGUACUGUAUGUAGCAAAAUAAUGUGAAACCCAUAUGCAUGGAUAUUCUUAACAAUUUGAAGAAAUCGUCACAGCUUUCCUGGGUUGUUGAGCCUCUAAGAUGGUCUUUUCCUCUGAUGUGAUAAUAAAGUGUUUAUUCUGAACUCUA